rnacentral:ncRNA from 1 species
GUGUUACAUGAAAGGAGAGAAGACUAGCACUCCCCUUGACAAGGGUGGAAGAGAUCCCAGGCCUGACAACAACACAUACACAGUUGAGGCAUUGCCACCUACUUUGUGGCACCCAACCAUUGUUUAAA